AAGAGACUCACUGAAGUGGAUGGUGAAUACUAAUUUUGAACUUCCUAUGAGAAGCACAUGAAGCCACAGCAGUCCCUGCUGAUGCUCUGCAUGAAGAGAGGAAGGGUAGGGAUCAGUGGUGGGAACACGGACAAGGUUUUGCCAUGAAGCGAAGCAAUCUUGACCCAUGGCAACAUGUGUUUGCUAUUGAAUAAUUAUUCCUGGACUGACAGAUAUUACUGUGCUUCAGCAGUUGGGACAUUAAUGAGCUAUCAGAGUCUGAAGAAGAUGUCUACAGCUACAUGUUGUCAGAAAGCCCUUAAACAGAAAAGAUCAGAAGCCUAGAAUGAAAGUACCCAAGAUUUUGUGUCUUACUCCACAUGUCCUGCGCAAACGCCAGCCUGUUGCUCUGAGGAAAGAGGGGUACUAAGAAAAUAGCGAGAAGAUUGUAGAAUAUGAUAAACUUUGGGUCAAUAGAGUGAAGGAAGCCAAAGAAAAAUCCUGGGAGCAGAUUGCCAAGAGACUUAGACUGUCUGUC
rnacentral:lncRNA from 1 species